rnacentral:rRNA from 1 species
GACGAACGCUGGCGGCGUGCCUAACACAUGCAAGUCGAACGGAAAGGCCCUGCUUUUGUGGGGUGCUCGAGUGGCGAACGGGUGAGUAACACGUGAGUAACCUGCCCUUGACUUUGGGAUAACUUCAGGAAACUGGGGCUAAUACCGGAUAGGAGCUCCUGCUGCAUGGUGGGGGUUGGAAAGUUUCGGCGGUUGGGGAUGGACUCGCGGCUUAUCAGCUUGUUGGUGGGGUAGUGGCUUACAAGGCUUUGACGGGUAGCCGGCCUGAGAGGGUGACCGGCCACAUUGGGACUGAGAUACGGCCCAGACUCCUACGGGAGGCAGCAGUGGGGAAUAUUGCACAAUGGGCGGAAGCCUGAUGCAGCAACGCCGCGUGCGGGAUGACGGCCUUCGGGUUGUAAACCGCUUUCGCCUGUGACGAAGCGUGAGUGACGGUAAUGGGUAAAGAAGCACCGGCUAACUACGUG